GACGAACGCUGGCGGCGUGCCUAAUACAUGCAAGUCGAACGCACGAAGUUGAAGAGCUUGCUCUUUAACCAAGUGAGUGGCGGACGGGUGAGUAACACGUGGGUAACCUGCCCAUUAGAGGGGGAUAACAUUCGGAAACGGAUGCUAAUACCGCAUAGUUUCAGGAAUCGCAUGAUUCUUGAAGGAAAGGUGGCUUCGGCUACCACUAAUGGAUGGACCCGCGGCGUAUUAGCUAGUUGGUGAGGUAAUGGCUCACCAAGGCAAUGAUACGUAGCCGACCUGAGAGGGUGAUCGGCCACACUGGGACUGAGACACGGCCCAGACUCCUACGGGAGGCAGCAGUAGGGAAUCUUCCGCAAUGGACGAAAGUCUGACGGAGCAACGCCGCGUGAGUGAAGAAGGUUUUCGGAUCGUAAAACUCUGUUGUUAAAGAAGAACAAGGAUGAGAGUAACUGCUCAUCCCCUGACGGUAUUUAACCAGAAAGCCACGGCUAACUACGUGCCAGCAGCCGCGGUAAUACGUAGGUGGCAAGCGUUGUCCGGAUUUAUUGGGCGUAAAGCGAGCGCAGGCGGUUCUUUAAGUCUGAUGUGAAAGCCCCCGGCUCAACCGGGGAGGGUCAUUGGAAACUGGAGAACUUGAGUGCAGAAGAGGAGAGUGGAAUUCCACGUGUAGCGGUGAAAUGCGUAGAUAUGUGGAGGAACACCAGUGGCGAAGGCGACUCUCUGGUCUGUAACUGACGCUGAGGCUCGAAAGCGUGGGGAGCAAACAG
rnacentral:rRNA from 1 species